rnacentral:rRNA from 1 species
AUUGAACGCUGGCGGCAUGCUUUACACAUGCAAGUCGAACGGUAACAGGCCGCAAGGUGCUGACGAGUGGCGAACGGGUGAGUAAUGCAUCGGAACGUGCCCAGUCGUGGGGGAUAACGCAGCGAAAGCUGCGCUAAUACCGCAUACGAUCUAUGGAUGAAAGCGGGGGACCGUAAGGCCUCGCGCGAUUGGAGCGGCCGGUGUCAGAUUAGGUAGUUGGUGGGGUAAAGGCUCACCAAGCCGACGAUCUGUAGCUGGUCUGAGAGGACGACCAGCCACACUGGGACUGAGACACGGCCCAGACUCCUACGGGAGGCAGCAGCGGGGAAUUUUGGACAAUGGGCGCAAGCCUGAUCCAGCAAUGCCGCGUGCAGGAAGAAGGCCUUCGGGUUGUAAACUGCUUUUGUCAGGGAAGAAAUCUUCUGGGCUAAUACCCCGGGAGGAUGACGGUACCUGAAGAAUAAGCACCGGCUAACUACGUGCCAGCCGCCGCCGUAAGAC